GCCAAGGGCCCCGGCGGGACUCCCGGCGCCCAGCUGCCCGGCCCUGAGCCCUCAAGCCACCGCCCCCAGGCCCCGCGCAGACGCUGGACGGUCCCCGCCUCCAAACCUCCCCCCCGGCCCGAUCAGAGAAUAACUUACCCGUUUGCCGACGGAAUCGCUCCUGCUGGCCCCUCUGACGGACUCCUCCGGCUCAUCGUCUUCCGGUGAUGAAACCGGAAGUCCCACCCCUCCCCAAGAGGAAAACGGAAAGCCGAAGGAGUCAAUCUAAGGAAGGGGAGACGCGCGUCAGGCUGAGAGCCUGGCGGCGUCUGACCGGGAAGGCCACCUGGCACUUCCAGCGGCUCCCCGAGCGGUUAAUUGGUCUUCUGGCUAAUAACUGGGCGGAUUUCUGUCAUCCCUCUGAAUGUAAUCUAUCUGGAAAAUACUUCCUAUCUGGCUCCCAAACCACAGCAAGACCCAGGUAGCCACAUGGCUUGGGUUUGGGUAGAAAACGUGGACCCAUCAAUGAGAGCUGGGGAGACCCAUCAUGACCCGGGGAGGCAGAAAACCACGGCUCUGGACUCAGGCAUCCCAGGGUUGGAAUCUCCUAGAUUCAAUGACCUCAUUCGUCCUCCUCCUCUCCUCACCUGGUGGCAGCUGAAUAAUUGACCAAGACACUGCAGGUCUCAGAGAUUCAGCAGGAAUGCAGAUCAGCAAAUACAUCUUCUUAUUUAGUGACUUGGUAAAACUGAUGUUCCCUUGCUCAGAAAUGGUUCUAUUUUACAACCAACUUUUGUUAAUUGACUACUAUGAACACCCUUGUUAAAAUAUAAAUUGGCGUCAGAAACCUCGUGUACAGUUAGUCCUUGGGACCUCUGCCAAAUACAUCAGGUAGGUCCACGGAAUCUGAAAACCUCACAAGAUUCAACCAAAUCUGGCGAGCAUGGACUGUGCUUAAAUAGUAAAGAGUACCAAACACCUGCGAAUAUUUAACCAAGAGGACUUGAUGUUGUCCAGCACCAGAGAAGAAGUGGCUCCUUAUGGAUGCCUCAGCGAGGCUGAUGCCACAGGUGGGUCCCGUUUCUGUGACAAGAGGCAGGGUAAGCUGGCCCCAUGAUCCAGCCGUUUUAGACAUGACGCAGCAAGCUUUAAAACUGACAUUUCAAGCACCCACAAAGAGAUGGAAUGUGUGGCACUUUGUUUUUAUUUGGAAUCAUAAGAGAAACAUUUUUAAUAAACCCUUAAAUUCUUCUCCA